rnacentral:rRNA from 1 species
CCUACGGGAGGCUGCAGUAGGGAAUCUUCCACAAUGGGGGCAACCCUGAUCGAGCAAUACCGCGUGAGUGAAGAAGGCUUUCGGCUCGUAAAGCUCUGUUGUUCGAGAAAAACGUGCGUGAUAGGAACUGAUCACUCAGUGACGGUAUCCUACGAGAAAGUCACGGCUAACUACGUGCCAGCAGCCGCGGUAAUACGUAGGUGGCAAGCGUUAUCCGGAUUGAUUGGGCGUAAAGGGUGCGCAGGCGGUGCCUUAGGUCUGAUGUAAAAGCCAUCGACUAAACCGAAGAAGGCAUUGGAAACCGGGCGACUGGAGUGCAGAAGAGGACAGUGGAAUUCCAUGUGUAGCGGUAGAAUGCGUAGAUAUAUGGAAGAACACCAGUGGCGAAGGCGGCUGUCUGGUCUGCAACUGACGCUGAGGCUCGAAAGCAUGGGUAGCGAAUAGGAUUAGAUACCCUAGUAGUC